rnacentral:lncRNA from 1 species
UUUUUACUUAUAUAAUAUUUUUGGUAUGAUUUUUUUUAAUUCGAGUGAAAACGAAUUUUGUUUAGCGGGGAGUGAUGUGGCGUAAUCAAUUCCAUCUAAGAUUUGAUGGUCAGUUCUUAAUCAGUUUAAUGAUCUUUCAUCUUGUUUAAUGUGACACUUUAUACGAUACAUUAGUUGCACAGUUGAACUGCAAUAGUUUAUCCAAAUAAUCUAAGACCAUUAAUCAAUGCCUUACAUAAAUUAAGAACAUGUUUAUAGCUGGAUCUUGUGAGAAACUUUAUGUAUUGGUCAGAGAUAUGAGAGUAGUAGCUUGAAGUACCAAGUUGUAUGUACGAACGUUAAUUGGAAAUUAUGAUUAAGAAUAUUUAUUAUACAUGUACUGUUAUAUAAAGAUUAUAUAUAUAUAUGAUUAAACAUGUGAACAUUAAAUGGACUUCGUUAUAUAGACAGUACUAAGUGAGCUUACGGAGAAACUUUACAAUAACUAGUUCCCUAUGUUAACGGGCAACAUGGAUUACGAUCCCGGAUACGUAGAUCCGAAAUAAUGACUUAGUUCUAAAAACACACA